AGCUGUUUUUGGACUACAACUCCCAUCACCCCUAACUAGCAGGAUCAGUGGUCAGGGAUGAUGGGAAUUGUAGUCCAGAAACAGCU
rnacentral:miRNA from 1 species